rnacentral:sRNA from 1 species
UUGUUUACUUUUUUAGAUUUUCUAUUUUUUUAAGAGAAUAAAAAAGUUAAAUUUUUAAUGACACAUGUAAACAUCUGAUCGUUUGACUUGACACGUGGCACGAUCCUAUGAAUUAGUAACUUUGAAAACCAUACUUUAUAUAAUUCAAAUACUAUCUAUAAAA